AUAUCAAUAAGCGGAGGAAAAGAAACCAACAGGGAUUGCCCUAGUAACGGCGAGUGAAGCGGCAACAGCUCAAAUUUGAAAUCUGGCCCCUUCGGGGUCCGAGUUGUAAUUUGCAGAGGAAGCUUCGGCGUUGGCCCCGGGUUAAGUCCCCUGGGACGGGGCGCCCUAGAGGGUGAGAGCCCCGUACUCACCCGGGUGCACCUCGCCGUGCGAAGCUCCUUCGACGAGUCGAGUUGUUUGGGAAUGCAGCUCUAAGCGGGAGGUAUAUUUCUUCUAAAGCUAAAUACCGGCCAGAGACCGAUAGCGCACAAGUAGAGUGAUCGAAAGAUGAAAAGCACUUUGGAAAGAGAGUUAAAAAGCACGUGAAAUUGUUGAAAGGGAAGCUCUUGCCGCCAGACUUGCCGCGGUUGCUCAGCCGCCCCCCCGGGGCGGUGUACUCCUCCGUCGGCAGGCCAGCGUCGGUUCGGGCGGCCGGAUAAAGGCCUCGGGAAUGUAGCACCUCUCGGGGUGUGUUAUAGCCCGUGGCGUAAUGCGGCCAGCCCGGUCCGAGGCACGCGUUCGCGAGGACGCUGGCGUAAUGGUCGCAAGCGACCCGUCUUGAAACACGGACCAAGGAGUCUGACAUCUGUGCGAGUGUUUGGGUCUCACACCCAUGCGCGUAAUGAAAGUGAACGGAGGUGGGAACCCCCCCGAGGGGCGCACCAUCGACCGAUCCUGAUGUCUUCGGAUGGAUUUGAGUAAGAGCAUAGCUGUUGGGACCCGAAAGAUGGUGAACUAUUCCCGGAUAGGGUGAAGCCAGAGGAAACUCUGGUGGAGGCUCGCAGCGGUUCUGACGUGCAAAUCGAUCGUCAAAUCUAGGAAUAGGGGCGAAAGACUAAUCGAACCAU
rnacentral:rRNA from 1 species